CAGGUGAGGCACACAGAGGGGGAGGCCCGCAGCUGCGUGGGAGGAGGGGUGGUCUGAGGGACGUGGGAUGCCGGGAAUGAGGCUGGUUUGCAGGUUGGCGCAUGGACAUUUUCCCAGAAAGGGACAGAGACGGCGAAGUUUGACGGUCUGGAAAGCAGAGACCAGCAGGGCUGACUGCUUGGGAGGAGGAGAAUGCUAUUUAUUUCAGCACCAAAUAUCCGGACAGCGCCUCUCGGGAGGUCCGAGAAGAGAACCGCGAUCUGUUUCAGCACCGGGGCUCAGGACAGUUCCCAGCGGGCUCCGUUUCGUCUCCAGAACCCUGGACAGCUCCUCCAGCUUGGAAUGCACUCCCUCCACCUCCAACCAGAGCUCCCCACAACUGACCCUGCCUUCUUCUGCAAGCUCCAUUUCAUCAAGGGAAACGAUCCUUAUUGCCUCACCAUUUCCCACGUGAAGUCUGUAUUGACAUUCUCAUAGACCUGGGAUAUUGUGUCUGCAGCACAUAGUCCAAUUAUUUUCAUGUUAUCUACUGACAGGUCUAUUUGUCUCCCUGUUACACUGUGAGCUCCGUGAGGGCAGAAACAAUG
rnacentral:lncRNA from 1 species